UGUCACGCCCCGAGCCCCGCCUAUUUGGCCGAGUUCGAGCGCGUCGACAGACCGCCGAACGGACAGAGUUUCCCCUGUACGUCCUAGGCGUCGCAAUCAAUACAAUGAACAUUACAAGGGUUCCAACCAAGAACAGAUAUCAAUCAUGAUUGCAUAAGGAAAGUAUCACAACAUAACACAUCCUAUGUUAUUACAUGCAUUCACAAUAAUACAUUUACUUUACAUCCAACUCCCAAAUGCAAUUAAGUUAUUACAUCAUUUGCUUAUUACAAAUUGAUACAUUGUAUUCUUUUCAUUUCCCAAACCCCUAGGCUAUGUCGACGGGUUAUUGCUAUCUCUGGUCUCUGGGUAGGGCGCUAUCUAUGGAGCUACGCCCUUUCCUCGCGCCGCCGCGCCGCUCACGUGGGAACCUGAAACACCCCAAAACAACAUGGGGUGAGAACCAACUCCAUGGUUCCCAGUGGGUACGGCCACCCAAGGGAGGAGCUCGACCAAUAGGUCCAAGGAGGCAACUGCAGGUUAGUUUAAUAAACAGAUAGAUAGAUAUUUGACUAUGCAAUUAAUAAAACCAUACCUUGCCUCGCAAAUGCAAUAUGAACAUUAUGCAACUAUGCAACUGCAUGAACAACUAGUAGAUAUGUUAAUUCUACAUUUACUUUGCUACUUUAGGUCAUUUCAUUCAAUUGUAAGGUUUCCAUUACCUUAUGUUCUCAACUCAAGUUCAACUUGCUUCUAAGGUCUCUAUUACCUCAGGUUCUUGCCUCGAUCACUAGCUUAUAAGGUUUCCAUUAACCUAAUCAAGCUAACCACCCGACUCGGCCUCAAGUCAAUCAUCCGCGGAUAGUCCGCGCACUGGCUGCACCUCAGCCUGGCUGCCGUCGCAGCCUACCGCAGAUCUGACUUAACCAUCUGGCGGCGAACUCAUCGCUCUCACCCAACAACAACUCAAGUCAUGACUUAGGCAUCUGGCGGCGAACUCAUCGCACCUCACCCAACAAUGGUUCAAGUCAUAACUUAGUCUUCUGGCAGCGACCACAUCGCUCUCACCCAACAAUGGUUCAAGUCAACCUAGGCGGCAUCAUCCGAUAAGCUAAUGGGCGAGGAGAACCACACAUACCCAAUUCCAGCUUAUUCUCAUGGCAUCCCGGGCGAGGAGAACCACACAUACCCGUUGAAUCACUGCCAGGCGAGGAGAACCACACAUACCUGCAGUUAGGAUUCGCUUGCCAUCUCUUUUACCACAAUUUCCACCGCUCUAUGUGCGGCCACAUCACUAGGGAUUCUGGAAUCCAUUUCAUAACUCAAGGGUUGGUUUCAAACCCUAUAGUAUUGACCUAUCUAGGUCCAAUGUCCUUUUCACCCUAGGUCCAAUUGACUCUAGGUUCAACGUCUCUAUCACAUAACCUAGGUUUACUUUAACUCUAGGUUCAAUCCAUAACCUAUGUUCACGACACUAGGUUAAUGCCACACACCUAGAUUUAGUUAACUCUAGGUUUAUUCUCAACCUAUGUUCUUUAACACUAGGUUAGAUGCCACUCGACCUAUGUUUAAUAACACUAGGUACAUUGUCAUUCAUGUUCAACCUAUGUUUAAUACACUAGGUUUGAUGCCACUCGAUCUAGUUCAUAUGACUCUAGAUUCAUUCACAACCUAUGUUCUUUAACACUAGGUUAAGUGCCACUCGAUCUAUUUGACAUCCUAAUUGUCCAUGUCGAGUUCCAUAACUAUCCACAUUUUAUCUAGCAUGCAUUAUGUGAUGCCAACAUGCAUAAUCUUUCUCACAUGAUCUACAACAUGUUAAUAUGCAUUUAAUCUAGCAUUUUCUCAUCAUGUCAUCAUACAUGUAUUAACAAGCAUAUUUACAUUAUGUCAUUAACAUGCAUUCUUUACCAUAUGCUCACAUGCAUUACUUAGCAUUUCUAUAAUAUGUUCAUCAUGCAUUCUAUGGUAGUCGUAGCAUAGCAAUUAACAUGCAUUCGCCUAGCAUUUAACUCUUGCAUUCAUCUACCAUUUAUAUGCAUCAAUAUGAAUUUACAUUUCUCUUAGACAUAAAGGGCGACCUAGUCGCUUCGGUAAGNNNN
rnacentral:lncRNA from 1 species